GAUGAACGCUGGCGGCGUGCCUAAUACAUGCAAGUCGAGCGAACAGACGAGGAGCUUGCUCCUCUGACGUUAGCGGCGGACGGGUGAGUAACACGUGGAUAACCUACCUAUAAGACUGGGAUAACUUCGGGAAACCGGAGCUAAUACCGGAUAAUAUAUUGAACCGCAUGGUUCAAUAGUGAAAGACGGUUUUGCUGUCACUUAUAGAUGGAUCCGCGCCGCAUUAGCUAGUUGGUAAGGUAACGGCUUACCAAGGCAACGAUGCGUAGCCGACCUGAGAGGGUGAUCGGCCACACUGGAACUGAGACACGGUCCAGACCCCUACGGGAGGCAGCAGGAGGGAAUCUUCCGCAAUGGGCGAAAGCUUGACGGAGCAACGCCGCGUGAGUGAUGAAGGUCUUCGGAUCGUAAAACUCUGUUAUUAGGGAAGAACAAAUGUGUAAGUAACUAUGCACGUCUUGACGGUACCUAAGCAGAAAGCCACGGCUAACUACGU
rnacentral:rRNA from 1 species